GGUCGGUCCCCCGCGCGACGAAACGCUGUCUACCCGGUCAGGUCCGGAAGGAAGCAGCCGUCGCAGCCACUUCGGGUGCGCGGGUGUGGCCGGCUGGA
rnacentral:SRP_RNA from 1 species